rnacentral:tRNA from 1 species
GGGGUUGUGGCUUAGUGGUAGAGCAUUUGCCUAGCAUGUAGGAGGCCCUGGGUUCAAUCCUGGCACCA